rnacentral:misc_RNA from 1 species
AGAGAAAAUGUUCUCAAAGCUGAAGCAGCCAUUAGAAAUGCUAAGAAGACGUAUCAAGAUGAAAAUGCUAAAAUAAAUGAAUUGGUAGCUCAGUUUAGAGCCGCAGAUGACAUUCGGCAGGAAGCAUAUGCACAUCUACAGACUUUGAGGAAGAGAUUAUAUGAUAAGAAUAAAUACUUUUGGAAGUACAGGGAUGAUUC